GAUGAACGCUGGCGGCGUGCCUAAUACAUGCAAGUCGAGCGAACAGAUGAGGAGCUUGCUCCUCUGACGUUAGCGGCGGACGGGUGAGUAACACGUGGAUAACCUACCUAUAAGACUGGGAUAACUUCGGGAAACCGGAGCUAAUACCGGAUAAUAUAUUGAACCGCAUGGUUCAAUAGUGAAAGACGGUUUUGCUGUCACUUAUAGAUGGAUCCGCGCCGCAUUAGCUAGUUGGUAAGGUAACGGCUUACCAAGGCAACGAUGCGUAGCCGACCUGAGAGGGUGAUCGGCCACCCUGGAACUGAGACACGGUCCAGACUCCUACGGGAGGCAGCUGUAGGGAAUCUUCCGCAAUGGGCGAAAGCCUGACGGAGCAACGCCGCGUGAGUGAUGAAGGUCUUCGGAUCGUAAAACUCUGUUAUUAGGGAAGAACAAAUGUGUAAGUAACUAUGCACGUCUUGACGGUACCUAAUCAGAAAGCCACGGCUAACUACGUG
rnacentral:rRNA from 1 species